rnacentral:lncRNA from 1 species
CAUCAAUUUACAUAUGACCCUCCUCACUCCCUGCACAUAAACUAUAAACUUCUUCCACCAUCCUCCGCCCAAGCACAAACUAAAACCACGACCCACCAAACAUAAUAAUGUUCACUAUCUAAUCGCGAUCACUCUUCAAUGAUAGCAUAUCAUCGUUUGCUUCAUCUGCAUCCUUCAGCAACCAACAAACCCAUAUUUUCCUUCAUCAAGAUCUUCCACCAUCAACUACACCUCUUUCACCUUGCAGCUCCACAAAACAACCAUCCCGCCUUUAUUAUCUCGCUUGAAACACACAUUUCAUGCUCUCCACCAACAACCACAACUAUGAAACAACAUCGCCUUUCAUUUACCAUAACUUCAUCACCUUGAACUUUCCCACAACUUAAAAAAAUGGUUGCUUCAAAACAUGAUAUGUACCAUUUCAACAUAAACUGGCGGUCCCUUCCCUUCGAACUCGUGUUUCACCCUUAUUACAAAACCUCAUAUUCGUUUUCGGUUGGCCUUCACAAUAACAACGUAAAGAAAACUGUUCUUCAUCUAAUUUCAAGCUUGUUUCUCAUUUUAGUUGGUUUUGCUUGUUUUGAAUCUUAAUAUUAUUGUGGAGUUUGUUUAUUAUAGGUGAGAUGAAAUUUGAACUUGCAGUUUUUUUAUGUCUUUCUGCAGCAAAUAAGUGAGCGAGAGAGGUAACGUUCAAAGAGUUUUUGUUUUACUCUUUUCCUCCUUGCCAUGUGUCGGCCAAUAAUUAGUGAAUAGUAAUUUUUUUGCAAUACUUAAAAAAACAAAAAUAAAGGGUGCUGCCCCUUUCAUC